rnacentral:lncRNA from 1 species
UAUGUCUUGCGCUCCUACAUUCAUGUCGUGCACACUGGAUGAGUAGCAUGUCCGUCCGUGCACUUGGCGUGUCCUAGUCACAGGGGAAGUGUUCCCACAUGUAUGGGUGAGCUUUCCCACACAUGUGGUGGUUCACACAUAUGCUGAAGGUAGGUCACUUGUGCGGCACAUGCUGUUCGCCAUUCUCCUCAAGGUCGACUGGACUCUCUUGGGCCUUUUCUUGGGUCUAAUGCUUCCUUGGCUGAAAAGGUCUCGAACGCAUCUAUUUUCUGACCAAAGGUCAAUCUUCCAUCCCUCUUGGCAAUUCUUUAAGCCUACAGGUUCUCUCAUGGGCCUCAAACCCAAUUGUUUGUCUUGUCUUGG